rnacentral:misc_RNA from 1 species
GGUGAUACAAUUAGAGGAUUUACAUCUUCUGACCAGGCAUGGAUCACAUUGAUCGGAGAGAAGUUAGAUGCUACACUGACAAAAGUUAUUUGACAUUCAUAGUGGCAGUGCAAAAUGGAUGUUUUAAGAUAUUCUAACAGCAGUAUCAUAAGUUCAAGUGUUUGCUAUAAUCAUGUCUAAAUUCAAAGUGAUUUUCCUUCCUUUAGUUUAUGUUGCACAGAUGGCCAUGCAUUCUAGACAAUAAA